UUUCCGUAGGUGAACCUGCGGAAGGAUCAUUACCGAGCGAGGGCCCCUCUGGGGCCAACCUCCCACCCGUGUCUAUCGUACCUUGUUGCUUUGGCGGGCCCGCCUCACGGCCGCCGGGGGGCAUCUGCCCCCGGGCCCGCGCCCGCCGAAGACACCCAUGAACUCUGUCUGAAGAUUGCAGUCUGAGUGGAAUGAUAAAUCAAUCAAAACUUUCAACAACGGAUCUCUUGGUUCCGGCAUCGAUGAAGAACGCAGC
rnacentral:misc_RNA from 1 species